GAUUGACCUCGGAUCAGUAGGGAUACCCGCUGAACUUAAGCAUAUCAAUAAGCGGAGGAAAAGAAACCACAGGGAUUGCCUCAGUAACGGCGAGUGAAGCGGCAACAGCUCAAAUUUGAAAUCUGGCGCUUUUGUGCCCGAGUUGUAAUUUGUAGAGGAUGUUUCGGGUGCGGCACCGUUCUAAGUUCCUUGGAACAGGGCGUCAUAGAGGGUGAGAAUCCCGUACGUGACCGGUCGCCAAACUCAUGUGAAACUCCUUCGACGAGUCGAGUUGUUUGGGAAUGCAGCUCAAAAUGGGAGGUAUAUUUCUUCUAAAGCUAAAUACCGGCCAGAGACCGAUAGCGCACAAGUAGAGUGAUCGAAAGAUGAAAAGCACUUUGGAAAGAGAGUUAAAAAGUACGUGAAAUUGUUGAAAGGGAAGCGCUUGCAAUCAGACUCGCUUUGGGGUGAUCAACCGUUCUUCGGGACGGUGCACUCUCCCCCGGGCGGGCCAGCAUCGGUUUGGGCGGUUGGAUAAAACCUCCAGGAAUGUAGCUCCUCUCGGGGAGUGUUAUAGCCUGGGUAUAAUGCAAUCAGCCUGGACCGAGGACCGCGCUUUUGCUAGAUGCUGGCGUUAAUGGUUGUAAGCGA
rnacentral:rRNA from 1 species